rnacentral:rRNA from 1 species
CGAAUGGCGUAACGAUCUGAGCAUUGUCUCAAGGGGAGACCCGGUGAAGUUGUAUUACCUGUGAAGAUGCAGGUUACCCGCAGAAGGACGGAAAGACCCCGUGCACCUUUACUACAGCUUGAUAUUGAAUUUGGUUUUGUUUUGUAUAGGAUAGGUGGGAGACGUUGAAACUGGCGCGCUAGUGUCGGUGGAGUCAUCCUUGGAAUACCACCCUGAAUAUGACGAAAUUCUAACUUUGAUCCCGUGAAUCCGGGCAGAGGACAGUGUCUGGUGGGUAGUUUGACUGGGGCGGUCGCCUCCCAAAAGGUAACGGAGGCGCCCUAUGGUUCCCUCAGCACGUUUGGAAAUCGUGCGUAGAGCGUAAAGGCAUAAGGGAGCUUGACUGCGAGACUUACAAGUCGAGCAGGUACGAAAGUAGGGCUUAGUGAUCCAGCGGUUCCAUAUGGAAGGGCCGUUGCUCAUCGGAUAAAAGGUACGCCGGGGAUAACAGGCUUAUAGCGCCCAAGAGUUCAUAUCGACGGCGCUGUUUGGCACCUCGAUGUCGGCUCGUCACAUCCUGGGGCUGUAGCAGGUCCCAAGGGUUGGUCUGUUCGCCCAUUAAAGUGGCACGCGAGCUGGGUUUAGAACGUCGUGAGACAGUUCGGUCCCUAUCCUUCGUGGGCGUAGGAAAUUUGAGAGAAGCUGACCUUAGUACGAGAGGACCGGGUUGGACGAACCUAUGGUGAUUCAGUUGUCACGCCAGUGGCACCGCUGAGUAGCUAUGUUCGGAAGGGAUAAGCGCUGAAAGCAUCUAAGCACGAAGCCCCUCUCAAGAUAAGAUUUCCCUGGAUCUUCGGAUCCCUGUAGGGCCCUUGUAGACUACAAGGUUGAUAGGCUGGAGGUGUAAGCACGGUGACGUGUUCAGCUGACCAGUACUAAUAGCCCGUGAGGCUUGGUCUU